GACCUUCAGAUCCGAUAGUCACCGAUUGUUUCCAUCCAACACAGUUCCCUCCGAUGGCGGCAAGUCACGAAGCAGCAGCAGUGCUCGAGGUGCUGGUGGAUUAUCGACUGCCAGCUCUACUGAAUUUCUCUAUCUUGGAACAUUAAUCAAUUCUCGUGGAAUAAAUGCUAGUACAGUAGUUGAUUCUGCUGCUGCAAAUGCUUCUCCUUAUCAAAAUGCUUCUCCUUAUCAAAAAUUGGGUUCACCUGAGCUUCACCCACUUCCACCACUUGCUCGCCAUCAUCAUUUCAGGCGAAAUGUCCAAGUGGGUUCAUCAGCAACAGAAGAAGAGGAAGAAGAAGAAGAAGAAGAAGAAGAAGAAGAAGAAGAGUUUUACUCUCCAAGAGGAUCUUCUGGUGGUAAAGAUAGUCCUAAUUUUAUUAAUGGAUCCACUUCUAGAAGAGUGUUUACAACAACUGAUACUGAUAUAUUGAUGACUACUGAUCAUCAUAGAA
rnacentral:lncRNA from 1 species